UAUUUAUUGAUCUGUUUCAUAAAAUCCCACAAAAGUAAAAAUGUGUGGCUUGGUGACACAGAUAAAGUAUUCCAAAAACACUGUUUAUAUUAAGCACAAUGAAAGGAUAUCCUUUGUUAUUCACUUUUGUUUAGAUGUUUGCUUAAGUAACUACCGGUAGCUACGUUUUACUGUUUCUUUUAAGCUCCAGAGGUAAAGGAAUCAAAGAAAACCGUGGUGAAGCUGAAAAUCCAGACCACUGCAAACUUGGGGGACCCAAGAGUCAGUGCUGAACUUGAGCAGCAGUUGCAUGCACUGCUUGUAAACCAAGGUGUGACUGACUUCAAACUGACCUGGAAAAAGAAGCCAGAAAAACCUUCAACCUAGAAGAGGACUACCAAGAAAGCUGCAGCAAAGUCAUCUUUAAAUGUCUUAUAGGAAUCAUCUUUAAUAUACUAAUGAAUCACUUUUUGUUUAGGUAACAAUUAAAACACAUAACAUCUGAAUAUACUAUAAAUAUUUAGACAUCCUCCUUUGUGUGCUUUGUAGAAAUCCAUUCUAUUCACUUUAGGGGGUUUACUUAGUUUCAGUUUAAGGAUGUAAUACCUAAAAUGAAUGGAUUGAGCAUAACAAAGAGUUUUUUGUUGUAUGCAAUCUUUUACUUAAUAUU